ensembl:lincRNA Gm42512 predicted gene 42512
AGCCAUGGAGUUGGAACCAUCUUCACAGGACAUGGUGUCAGAUAGCGAAGAGCAAAUAAUUCACCUGAAGAAGUGGAGAGGUUAAACAAGGCACAUCAAGUUCUCCCAUCCCAGAAAGCACCACAUCCCCAGACUCAUGUGACAUGGCCGCCUCACGGGGCAAUAGGAGGUCAUUGGAAGGAGGUAUGAAUGGAUCCAGAAUUCUCAAUGAUUCACUGUAUUUCUGAAGAGUCAUUUUAGGAGACCAUUCACUUUCUCUGUCAAAAGAACAAUACACAAUUGAAGAUUCACUCCAUAGUUGUUUUCUGAACAGGGUUUUCAAGACCUCAGCCAUGGUCUCCCGUACAACACAGAGAGAGGAUUUUUGUGGCUGGCAGAAUUGUGAGUUCUGGGCUAACAACAUUCCUGCAGCUGAAGGACAAUGCCUACUUGUAUGUAACACGGAAACAGGUGCUCCCUUUGUGCUGUGUGUGGAGUCAGAGAAGAACCAGGUAACCCGCUGGCAACACUGCUGAUUUUGUAAUAGAGUUUGGAGCUUCCCACACUUGGUGGGGGGAGAAGUCAUGCCUACACUGAGUGUGAAAUAAGUGAGAAGAAGAAAGCAGACGAGUCAGAAGCAAUAGCAAUACACAGAGUGCAGAGACAUGGUGGGAGGGGUCAGGGUGCUCCAACAGCCAAUACUUGAUCCUCUACUCUUCUUUUCCUUCACCCCUGGCAUCCAUGUUGGCACCAAGAUCCGUAAUCUCUAGUUCCUUGCCAUCUUCCCAGCCUGCCCAUGUCUAUUUCCACUGCUCUGUCAUUUCUUAAUUGUUACUGUAUCCGUUUUGUAGCCACUCCCACCACAGGAUAAUACAACCCCUCCCCCCAUACUUUCACAGCCCUGCCUACUACCCCUAGGCGCAGCUAAAGGGCACUUGUCACUGCCCAGCCCUACCACAUCAAUCUUCUCUCCUCUGUAUGCUUUCUAGAUCCACUGCCCUCAUCAACAGAAGAAACAUCCUACAGGCAGCCGAGAUCACCUGACACCUGCAGUGUAUCACACUUUCUGCAGGAAAGGCAGCUUUCCCUGUCGGGAGAUCCUGCACUGUCUUAGCCUGGGCUUUUCUGUUUUUAAGUCCUGCUUAUAGAUGCAUCAGGAUCCUUUUUUGGUCUCUGUCCCAAGCGGCUGACUAUUGAAGAUCUAGGACUGAGUCUCCUUUAUACCCUGGGUUUUCAGGAAUGGUUCACUAACACUGGACAAAUUCUCUUACACGAGGAAGAGAAGUUCUGAUUAGAGAGGUGACUUCCAAUGUGUAAGAUAAAGCGCAUAAAGUCAGUGCUCAUAAAACCUCAGUCCACAGAAUCUGGGGAGCCUGAGAACUGGAUCUGCAGCAUGAGAGUUGAGAAUAUGGGCGUUGGUGUGACAGGGUGAAGUUUUGUGAUUGUGUUCUGUUGACUGCGACAGCAACUGCCAAGUCACAGCGGUGCUGAGCAGUAAUGCAGCAGUCAUCCGCCAUCCCUUUUCCUGUUUCUGUCUGAAUAUCUCAUUUUUUCCUGAAAUGUCAAAAAUAUGAGCCAUGAAAGAAAAUUGUGAAAAUGUGAAAAUGCCAGUGGGUGUAUCUAGACAAAUCUCAAACAUCUGGACACAUGGGAAAAUGGAAGAAAAUGUAGUAAGUUUUCUGCUGACUCAGGGCUGGAGUUCAUCAAGACUGGGCCACCCUUACCUCUGACAGAUGGAAUUGUGUGUUAAUUUUACCUCUGUGUAUACUCCUGUUUUUCUCUUUUCAAUGAACACCUGAAAUGAUAUCUAUAAAAGUCAAUACAAUAGUCCAAGCACAAACAUAAGACUUCUGUCACUAUUGAGAAAUUUCUUUCAAGAAGACAAUUUGAGGUUCAUUAUGUUGUUUACAAAAUGUCGCAGCAUUUUCCCUGUCCAAUUACGUUAAUGUAGAGGAGGCCUGUGAUUGGGCAGGGAAAGGGGAGGCGGAGCAAAGGGGGAGAGACAGUGUCUCAGGGGGAUAAGGGAGAAGGAGAAUGGAGGUGGACAUGAACCAGCUGGUUUUAAGCAGCUACAGGUUGUUAUGAUAUCAUAAGGCUAGAAUAAUUGGGACAAAGCUUUUAUCUUUAUCAAUUGGCUCUGAAAUUAUUUUAUUGGCAUCUUAUAAAUUGAGGAUUUAUUGAUACAUAAAUCUAAUUGGUUUUGAUUUUACUGGGGUAAUAUCUAACUGAGGUUGGCAGUUCAAUUUGGUUACUGGAAUGUGGAACAGAGUGGGUGGGACCCCACUGGGGCAUAGUGUUGUGCCCUGCCAGUGCUGGCACUAGAAUGGGAACAUGCUGGAUCAUUUUUAAUAUUUACCGCAACAGAAAAAAAAAUCAAGGUAAGCUAAAGAGUGAACCAUAGAAGAUUAACUAAACAUAACAUAAACAUAUUUUGCUUUAUCAUUAUACAUAUUUAGAUUAGUAUUUAUUGACAUGAGAGUCAUUGACAUUAUGCCACUAGAAUAAAAAUGUAUACAAGAGAUUUAUAAUGUAAUUUUUCCUUUUAUAAAAUUAGAAAUAUUUCAUUUGGGGGCUAGAGAGAUGAUUCAAAGGUUAAGAGCAACCUCGGGUGUUCUUAUAGAUUGGUUAUAGUUAGAACCUAGAUUGGUUCUAGCAUCCAAGUCAGGUAGUUUAGAACCACCUGGAACUCUAGCUCCAGCAAGAUCCAAUGCUUCUCAUCUCCUUGGGCACCUGUACACAUGUAACACACACAUAAUUGAAAUU